rnacentral:miRNA from 1 species
UAUGAAUAUGUAUGUGUGCAUAUGCAUGUAUACACAUACUUUGAAUAAUUACAAGGAUGUAUAUAGAUACAUAUGUGUGUACAUAUACAUGCAAA